UACGUAGGCAGCAAGCGUUGUUCGGAGUUACUGGGCGUAAAGGGUGUGUAGGCGGUGCUCUAAGUUCGGUGUGAAAUCUCCCGGCUUAACUGGGAGGGUGCGCCGGAAACUGGAGUGCUCGAGCGUGGGAGAGGAAAGCGGAAUUCCUGGUGUAGCGGUGAAAUGCGUAGAUAUCAGGAGGAACACCUGCGGUGUAGACGGCUUUCUGGACCAUUGCUGACGCUGAGACACGAAAGCGUGGGUAGCAAACAGG
rnacentral:rRNA from 1 species